UACGGGGGGGGGCAAGCGGUUGUUCGGAAUUACUGGGCGUAAAGGGUUUGUAGGUGGCCAACUAAGUCAGACGUGAAAUCCCUCAGCUUAACUGGGGAACUGCGUCUGAUACUGGUUGGCUUGAGUGCAGGAGAGGAACGCGGAAUUCCAGGUGUAGCGGUGAAAUGCGUAGAUAUCUGGAGGAACACCGGUGGCGAAGGCGGCGUUCUGGACUGCAACUGACACUGAGAAACGAAAGCCAGGGUAGCAAACGGG
rnacentral:rRNA from 1 species